CAAAUCAUGAAUGUAUAUUCACUUUUUUGAUCAAGACCUGGCCAAAGUAACUAAAAUGAUUUUCACAAUGUUUCAAUGUGGGAUUAUGAUAUUAUUGCUGUAUGAAAAUCAACAUUGACUCUUCAUUUAUUACAUGGUGCGAAGAAGUAAAAAUGGAUCUAAAACUUUUUACUUCUUAAAAAUGAAGACUUUUAUUAAUGUGUAACGUAAGAAGGACUGUUUUGCCAGUCAAAUAAACUUUAAUGAGUGCAUAUUGAAACAUUACACUUUUGGUUGGGAAAAAAA